AGAAAGUCGAGUUUCGAAUAGCGCGGAAAUUCAAAAUACUUACAAGGGAUGCAGUCAGACCUAGCGACAAGGGCGGAGGUCAUAAAGAGUCCAACGAGAAAUAUUGUGCAUAUGAGCAGGAUAAGUUGUUGUUGGAUGAGUCUUCGCUUUUCCGGAUCUAAAUUUGACGGUGGUGGAGCCUUUAGUUGAUUAUUGGCUGGCAAAACAUUGUUGACAGGAUGUCCCUGAACGACUUGAUUCGAGCCAUGAGCGUUGACCCCAGUUUGCAUCAUAGGAAUACCAUUGUUGACCGUGCUCGCAACACCGCUAUCCAUGUCAUCCCGGACGUUCAGGGAUUCCAGCAGGCCUGACAAAUCUGCAGAAUUUCUUUCAUCGCUAAAAGGAACAAUUUUCAAUGAAUUACUGGAUUUUAUGCAGUCAAUAACAAUCAGCUAAUCAAGUACACGUGACCUGUCUACCUUGUGCAGGACCAAAAGGUCUGCUUCUAAAUUUAUCUUGCGUUCUGCAGACUAAUGACCUCUCUCUUUUUAGAGAAAAACAAUAAUAAUAGUAAACCUUGUAACAGGUAAAAAUAGUUCAAACCGGUUUUUGACAGCUGAAAAUAAUUUUUGUGAGAAAAGCUAAAAAUAAACUGUUAAACGCAUGUAACGAAGGGGUAAAACCAGUGUGUCAGCGGACUAGUGAGUUGACCAUAUUUGGCAAUAUUUAUUUAUUUUAAUAUUUAAGCUACCCACUGUGCGCUAAACUCUAUUCAGCCAGUAUAAUUUAAUAACAUAUACAUAAGAAAACGGGUAUAAUACAUCUAUACUAAAAUGUUUUAAACAAUUAGUCCAGAAGCAAUGAAAGACAUGAAUUAUUUAUUUAUCUAUUUCAUACUAAAAAUAAAACAUGUAUGCCAAAUUUUCAGAUCUUCGUGCCUUUAUUGUCAUAUAAGUGAUGUUUAUUUAAAAAAAACUGAAACAACUCCAUCCCAGAUUUUGUAUAUGAUUUUUCUAAAAAUGCAAUAAUCCAACCCCAAUAUUCUCGAACAACGAAAUGGUUUGAUAUCUAGCUCGUUAAUCUCUUUCAUCCAGUAUGUUAGUAAAAAAAGUCAUGUUAUGAAAGUAGUUUCGAAACGAUUUCGUGAUAAAGAAAUAUCAAAAUCUAAAACCCAUAUUCGUGGUUUUUAGUGAAGGCAAGUAUUUACCUGAAUUGAAUUUGACUGCCUUCCGUUUUUGGGCCACAGGCCCAUAAAGAUAUUCAUGAAAUAUUGUACAGCAUUCGUGAUUCGCGUUUUUCCAUAAAAAACAUUCAUAAAUAAAGACAGACAUGUCCGUACCAUAAAAUUCAUAAAAUUUAUUAGAUAAGCAAAUAGCAAUUCCAUUCAUUCUAUGUACAUCAAGUGUGCCUGACAGAUAUGGAAUUUAACUAACAAGGGAACAUACCGAGGUGUCCAACGAGUUGAGGGACGAGACCUGCACCAAAAUGACCACAAGACAUGAGUUAUUCAACGAACUGAAGGAACUUCCGUGCAGAAUUCACUUUUCGUCACGUUGUGAAGAUAUUUGUGACGAGCGUAUGACCGGGUGGAUCUUCAAGCUAGAUCCAACUGUCGAUAUGACGACUCAAUCAUGAUUUACAAUUGGUCCGAUGGCCGUUAUGUUCUCGUGACAGUUUGCAGAUUUUGUGGGAAUACAAUUCCAUCCAGUGUAACAUUCCAGGAUGGUGCUGGUCUCGUGCUCUUUCAGUCGGAUUUUAUCAAUGCUGGGACCGGUUUCGAGUUUCAAUAU